UGGGGAAUAUUGCACAAUGGGCGAAAGCCUGAUGCAGCAACGCCGCGUGAGUGAUGAAGGCCUUCGGGUUGUAAGGCUCUGUCUUUUGGGACGAUAAUGACGGUACCAAAGGAGGAAGCCACGGCUAACUACGUGCCAGCAGCCGCGGUAAUACGUAGGUGGCAAGCGUUGUCCGGAUUUACUGGGCGUAAAGGAUGCGUAGGCGGAUUUUUAAGUGAGAUGUGAAAACCCUAAGCUUAACUUGGGGACUGCAUUUCAUACUGGAAAUCUAGAGUGCGGGAGAGGAGAAUGGAAUUCCUAGUGUAGCGGUGAAAUGCGUAGAGAUUAGGAAGAACACCAGUGGCGAAGGCGAUUCUCUGGACCGUAACUGACGCUGAGGCAUGAAAGCGUGGGUAGCAAACAGGAUUAGAUACCCUGGUAGUCCACGCCGUAAACGAUGAGUACUAGGUGUAGGAGGUAUCGACCCCUUCUGUGCCGCAGUUAACACAAUAAGUACUCCGCCUGGGAAGUACGAUCGCAAGAUUAAAACUCAAAUGAAUUGACGGGGUCAUAGCUGUUUUCCU
rnacentral:rRNA from 1 species